CAAAGACAACUGAAACCAGACCCCUCCUUAGCAUUUGUCACAUAAAUCAAUGGGGACUUGGGGCAGCUAAUCAUGGAUGUGUUUGUUGUUUAUUCCUUUUUAUGAAAACGGUUCAUAAGGAGGAAGGUAACGCGUUCUUUCUGCAGGAGUGGGACUAGUCCUGUAUGUGGUAGGAAAAGAAUGGAAACCGCGUCUGUUAUCAGGAAUCUGUACAUGAAUCAUAGCCUACAUUUUGGGGCUCUCUCAAAUCUUUCAUUUUAAUGAACUUACAUCAAGUGCCUUGCAGUGAUAAAAAGUAGUAUUUGUUUGUGUCUGCUUUGAAAAAAGAUAGGGGGCUCAUGUUUCAGUCUUACGUGGAGAUGUGAAAUGUUGAUCCAUUUACAAAGCAGAAGUCACAAACCCAGACAUGACGCAUCCAGGUCUCAUUCUCGGCUAGAUGAUUACAGGGGUGUUCGGGACCUCACACUGGACCUGUGUAUUCAUUACCAUGCGUUCUCAGUGAGACAUAAGCUGUCUUCCACGCAGUGUGCGAUGGUGGGGGGCGGACGCCAGAGUUGCUUGUGCCCCGUGAUUUCGUUGUCUGUGAACCAUGGCCAGGCUCCUGUGUUUCUGAAGCUUCUUCCCCUUCCUGCAGGCUCCUGCUUUCUGAGAAGGAGAAUGUGAAGGGACUCUUCUCUGUCCCCAGCACAGCCCUCCCUGCUGUCAUCGUGCUGGUGUGCCUCCACUGCCCCUGCUUCCCCGUAGAGGAGUGUGAGGCUCACCCACAUGCCCUAAGCCCCUGUGUGUGUGGGGGGGAGGGGGGCCCUCCAGUCAGGUACAGAAGCAAGGAGUGUGGGCUGGCUUGGUCCCACAAGAGGCCAGAGCUAACAGCUCUCUGCGCUUAGCCCUCCGUAUGUGUUUGGGGAAAACCGCCUCUUGCCUUUGACCCAACUCUGUCCUUCUGCUCCCGAGCAUGUGCUCUGCAACGCUGGACCGUGCGAGCACGUAGGGUAAGGCGAUCCGAAAUGUCCCACUUAAGGGAAUCCUGCAGUCCAGUUUCUUGAAAGCACCUCAAAGCUGGUAAACAUGUUUCCUGUCACCCUGUUGAAUGUGGGCUUCUGGAGUGAUUCAUAAAAAUGAAAUAUGUGGGUUAUGUUUUUGAUAGUAUAGAUACUGUAAAAUGUAAUUGGCUAUACGAAUCCACCAGGAUGGGGUCAUCUGAAGUUUAGGUUUCCUUUUAAUAGUUUAAUAAUCUUUUAAAAAGUAUUUAUAAGCCAAAACUAUGAGGCUAGCACCUGCUAGCCCAAACAAUUUUAUCAAGUAAUCCUAGUUUUCCUCUGAGUGGUUUCAAAGCCUAAGUAGAAGGGAGUGAGU
rnacentral:lncRNA from 1 species